GACGAACGCUGGCGGCGUGCUUAACACAUGCAAGCCGAACGUGAUCUUUGUGGAAAUUCUUUCGGGAAUGGAAAUGAAAUGAAAGUGGCGAACGGGUGAGUAACACGUGAGCAACCUACCUUACACAGGGGGAUAGCCGUUGGAAACGACGAUUAAUACCGCAUGAGACCACAGAAUCGCAUGAUAUAGGGGUCAAAGAUUUAUCGGUGUAAGAAGGGCUCGCGUCUGAUUAGCUAGUUGGAAGGGUAAAGGCCUACCAAGGCGACGAUCAGUAGCCGGUCUGAGAGGAUGAACGGCCACAUUGGAACUGAGACACGGUCCAAACUCCUACGGGAGGCAGCAGUGGGGAAUAUUGCACAAUGGGGGGAACCCUGAUGCAGCGACGCCGCGUGAGCGAAGAAGGUUUUCGAAUCGUAAAGCUCUGUCCUAU
rnacentral:rRNA from 1 species